rnacentral:sRNA from 1 species
UCAGUGUAUCAAAGGGACACCUGCACCCCCAUGUUUAUUGCAGCAAUAUUCACAAUAGCCUUAUAGUUUUAGUGCUUAGAGGCAUUUAAACAGCCUCUCGCCUCCAGACUACUUCACUGUAGUUUAUUUUCCCUGACCCUCCACAAUGUGAUUACCAACCGCUAGGAUGAGGUGCAUCUUAUUACAAAGUAGUAAAUUACAAGAUUGUAACAUUAGACUUUUUAAGAAAAUGCAGUCAGCUUUUAUACUAAUCAAUCUUAAUUUCCAGGUUACUCAGAAUUCCAGGUAUUCUGAUUUGGACUCUCAUCUCAUAUUGUAUUUCCUGUAUUUUAACUAGGAAGUUACUGCCAACAGCAUCUAUCUCUAUUAAAUAUAGAGGAAUUGACAAAAGAGGGGAAAGAAACUUGUGUUAGGUAAUAGAACUGCUUCAGAAAUAGGGCUAUUCAUGUUUAAAGUGUUUCUCCUUCGUUUUUCAGGGCAUCUCAUUGGGAGAUAUUCCUCUUCCAGGCAGUAUCAGUGAUGGCAUGAAUUCUUCAGCACAUUAUCAUGUAAACUUCAGCCAGGCUAUAAGUCAGGAUGUGAAUCUUCAUGAGGCCAUCUUGCUUUGUCCCAACAAUACAUUUAGAAGAGAUCCCAUAGCAAGGACUUCACAGUCACAAGAACCAUUUCUGCAGUUAAAUUCUCAUACCACCAAUCCUGAGCAAACCCUUCCUGGAACUAAUUUGACAGGAUUUCUUUCACCGGUUGACAAUCAUACGAGGAAUCUAACAAGCCAAGACCUACUAUAUGACCUUGACAUAAAUAUAUUUGAUGAGAUAAACUUAAUGUCAUUGGCCACAGAAGACAACUUUGAUCCAAUCGAUGUUUCUCAGCUUUUUGAUGAACCAGAUACUGAUUCUGGCCUUUCUUUAGAUUCAAGUCACAACAGUACCUCUGUCAUCAAGUCUAAUUCCUCUCACUCUGUGUGUGAUGAAGGUGCUAUAGGUUAUUGUACUGACCAUGAAUCUAGUUCCCAUCAUGACUUAGAAGGUGCCGUAGGCGGCUACUACCCAGAACCCAGUAAGCUUUGUCACUUGGAUCAGAGUGAUUCUGGUUAUCAUGGGGAUCUUACAUUUCAACACAUAUUUCAUAACCACACUUACCACUUACAGCCAAGUGUACCAGAAUCUACUUCUGAACCUUAUUUGUGGCCUGAGAAGUCACAGAAGAUAAGGCGUAGACACCUUGAAGACACAGAUAGAAACUUGAGCCGUGAUGAACAGCGUGCUAAAGCUUUGCAUAUCCCUUUUUCUGUAGAUGAAAUUGUCGGCAUGCCUGUUGAUUCCUUCAAUAGCAUGUUAAGUAGGUAUUAUCUGACAGACCUACAAGUCUCACUUAUCCGUGACAUCAGACGAAGAGGGAAAAAUAAAGUUGCUAUGAAACAGAAACUGCAUGACCUUUAUCAUGAUAUUUUUAGUAGAUUAAGAGAUGACCAAGGUAGGCCAGUCAAUCCAAACCACUAUGCUCUCCAGUGCACCCAUGAUGGAAGUAUCUUGAUAGUACCCAAAGCACUGGUAGCCUCAGGCCACAAAAAGGAAACCCAAAAGGGAAAGAGAAAGUGAGAAGAAACUGAAGAUGGACUCUAUUAUGUGAAGUAGUAAUGUUCAGAAACUGAUUAUUUGGAUCAGAAACCACUGAAACUGCUUCAAGAAUUUUAUCUUUAAGUACUGCUACUUGAAUAACUCAGUUAAGGCUCUGUUUUGAAGCUUACAUGGACAAACGUUUAAGACUUCAAGAUCAUACUUGUGGGCAAUCUGGGGGAGCCACAACUUUUCAUGAAAUGCAUUGUAUACAAAAUUCAGUUAUGUCCAAAGAAUAGGUUAACAUGAAAACCCACUAAGACUUUCCAUCUUAAAUUAUUUUAAGAGGUAUUUCAGUUUUAAAUGCAAAAUAGCCUUAUUUUCAUUUAGUUUGUUAGCACUAUAGUGAGCUUUUCAAACACUAUUUUAAUCUUUAUAUUUAACUUAUAAAUUUUGCUUUCUAUGGAAAUAAGUUUUGUAUUUGUAUUAAAAAUUAACUUUUCCCUUUUAUACAGAA